rnacentral:rRNA from 1 species
UACGGGGGGGAGCAAGCGUUGUUCGGAUUUACUGGGCGUAAAGGGCGCGUAGGCGGUCGUGACAAGUCACUUGUGAAAUCUCCGGGCUUAACUCGGAACGGUCAAGUGAUACUGUCGGACUAGAGUACAGAAGGGGCGAACUGGAAUUCUCGGUGUAGCGGUGAAAUGCGUAGAUAUCGAGAGGAACACCUGCGGCGAAGGCGGGUUGCUGGGCUGAUACUGACGCUGAGGCGCGAAAGCCAGAGGAGCGAACGGG